AUCAAAGUGCUUUCCUUCCAAACAGACUUAUAACCGAUGAUGCAAUUAUUAGAUUUGAGUGUAUCCAUGCUUUGAAACAUUGGAAGAGGAAGGAUGAUGGUUUUCUUGCUCUCAAACUCGAUAUGUCUAAAGCAUUUAACAGAGUGAAAUGGUUGUUUAUUGAGAAAAUGACGCUUAAACUCGGUUUUUCUAUAUCCUUGACCUCUAAGAUUUUGAAUUAUGUUUCAUCGAUUUUAUUUUCCUAUCUAAUUAAUGGAGAGGUAAGGGGUUAUCUAACCCCUUCAAAAGGUCUCCGUCAGGGAGACCCUCUCUCCUUAUUUAUUUUUAAUUUGUGUAGAAGGCCUUUAAUCGUUGUUAAGGAAUGUAGAAGCUUUAAGUUUAAUUCAUGGAUUUCUUUUUGGAGCAAAUGGAUUAAGCAUCUCCCACCUUUUUUUCGCGGAUGAUAGCUUUCUAUUUCUGAAAGCUAACAUGAGCAAGUGUGCUGCAAUUAAAGAAAUCCUUGAGUUAUAUGCCAGGGUCUUAGGCCAAGUUAUUAACUUUAAUAAAUCUGCAGUUUGUUUUUAUAAACUUGUUCCUAGUCAUAUUGCUAAUGAUAUGGUCAAUACUCUUAAUAUGGAAAAAAUGGAGUGUCGUGAGCAUUACUUGGGUCUUCCUAGCUUUGCAGGCGGGUGUAAAAGAUCCUUAUUUGCAGAUAUUAAGGACAAACUAAAAGGGUGAAAGUCUAAGCUUUUCUCUGCGAGUUGUUGAAAGGUCCUCUUGAAGGUUAUUGUUCAAUCCAUCUCGGCUUACUCCAUGUACAUAUUUAGGCUGCCUAAAUCACUCAUAGACGAGCUCUAUCAUCUUUGUGCACGAUUUUGGUAGGGCGGAGAUGACAAAAAGAGGAAACUCCACUAGUGUAACUAGUGAUCAUUUUGUCACAACAAAAAGGCUAAGAAGUCAAGUAAAACAUCUUUUAUUUAGAGGAGCAUCCUUUGGGGGAGGGAAAUUAUUGAGCAAGGAUUAUUUUGGUGCAUUGGAGACGGCAACUCAAUAUCUAUAUACAGUGACAGAUGGAUUUCCUUACUGUUCGAGUUUAAGCCCUUCUCGCGCAAGAUGUUAGACGUGGAGACCCGAGUUAGUGAUCUAAUUAUUGAGUCUGGAAGGUAGAAUAAAAGGAUGAUAAAGGAAGCCUUCUUUCUUGAGAAAGCAGAGGAUAUCCUCCAAAUCCCUCUCAUAUGAGGCCAUAGGCCACCGGUUCUUUGAUGGCAUUUUGAUAAACAUGGUAACUAUAGUGUGAAUAGUGGCUAUUGGUUAGCAAUGGAGCUUAAUGGGAAUACAAGCUACUCAUCGCAUUUGAACGCUAGUUCAUGUUGGACAAAAAUAUGGAAGAUGUUUUUGCCAUCCAAAAUCAAGAUUUUUCUAUGUAAAGCUUGUCACAACUGGAUUCCGAAUGUUGAUGAUCUAUGUCCUCUUUAUGGCAUUGAUAAAGAGACAACUUUCCAUGCUCUGUAGGGCUGCAAUUGUCUAUCUCAGGUACGUAAAUCUGUUGACUUCAUACAAGAUUGUGACAUUGAAUCUUUAUGUGAUUUUCAGGACUUCUUUACAAUGUGUUUGUAUCGUCUGAAUGAGGAAGAAACAAACAAGAUUGUUGUUAUAAUAUGGAGAAUCUAGUUUCGAAGGAAUAUUGUUGUUCAUUCAAAGAAGCUGUUGCCGGUGAAUGAAGUCAUAGCCUGGGUUUAGGACGAUAUUACAGAUAUAUGUAAUGCUAAUCCUAAGCUUCCCUGCAAAAUAGAAUUACUCAAUCUUGGAGACAUACAUACUUAAAUAGUGUGAAAUUCAAUAUGGAUGAUGUUGUCAAUAAAGAUAAGAGAAUUGUUCGCCUUGGAAUGGUGGCUCGUGAUUGCCAUGGCAAGGUGAUUAUGUCGAGCUCCAAGCCAAUCAACCAGCUGCUCUCGGUGGACCUGGCUGAAGCAGUAGAAAUCAAAUGGGGCCUAUCAAAAGCCUUAUAAAGUGGCAUUAUUCUAGCUGUGGUGGAAUCAGAUUCACUUGGUAUUGUCUAAGCAAUACCUCUCAUGAGAAUUCCCUUGUCGAAGCUGGAAUUAUUGUGAAGGACAUUAUUAAUCUUUGUGAUAGUAUUCCCUCGCGUGCUGUUAAGUUCACACUGAACAAUGGUAAUCAGGUUGCCAAUGGACUUUCUAAACAAGCUUUUAAUUGUCAUUCAGAGAUGGUUUGGUUUCAAAAGGUCCCUCAGUAUAUUCAUCAUCUUGCGCUGGCAGAUGCCAAGCUAAGAUCCCAGUUUUGUUGGAAUGAAUUUCCCCUUAAAAAAGUUCUUCAUUUUUUUAAGCCAUGUCGGUUGUUCUCUCAGUUUGUAGAAAUUAUUAUCUUGUCCACUAUAAAAUAAACUAAGACUAAUUACAACUCCAUCAUAGAUUACAUGACUA